rnacentral:tRNA from 2 species
GCGGGAGUAGUUCAGUGGUAGAACACUAGCCUUCCAAGCUGGUUACGAGGGUUCGAUUCCCUUCUCCCGCUCCA